GCAAUACAGAGUGGCAGACGGGUGAGUAACGCGUGGGAACAUACCCUCCGGUUCGGAAUAGCUCAGGGAAACUUGGAUUAAUACCGGAUACGCCCCCGGAUCUAAAGUCCGGGGGGAAAGAUUUUUUCGCUGGAGGAUUGGCCCGCGUCCGAUUAGCUGGUUGGCGGGGUAACGGCCCACCAAGGCGACGAUCGGUAGCUGGUCUGAGAGGAUGAUCAGCCACAUUGGGACUGAGACACGGCCCAAACUCCUACGGGAGGCAGCAGUGGGGAAUAUUGGACAAUGGGCGCAAGCCUGAUCCAGCCAUGCCGCGUGAGUGAUGACGGCCUUAGGGUUGUAAAGCUCUUUCGCUCGGGACGAUAAUGACGGUACCGAGAUAAGAAGCCCCGGCUAACUUCGUGCCAGCAGCCGCGGUAAUACGAAGGGGGCUAGCGUUGUUCGGAAUUACUGGGCGUAAAGCGCGUGUAGGCGGGUGUUUAAGUCAGGGGUGAAAUGCCAAGGCUCAACCUUGGAACUGCCUUUGAUACUGGACAUCUUGAGUCCGGGAGAGGUGAGUGGAACUGCGAGUGUAGAGGUGAAAUUCGUAGAUAUUCGCAAGAA
rnacentral:rRNA from 1 species